rnacentral:rRNA from 1 species
UACGGGGGGAGCAAGCGUUGUUCGGAUUUACUGGGCGUAAAGGGCGCGUAGGCGGCGUGUUAAGUCAGCUGUGAAAUCUCCAAGCUUAACUUGGAACGGUCAGCUGAUACUGAUGUGCUAGAGUGCAGAAGGGGCAAUCGGAAUUCUUGGUGUAGCGGUGAAAUGCGUAGAUAUCAAGAGGAACACCUGAGGUGAAGACGGGUUGCUGGGCUGACACUGACGCUGAGGCGCGAAAGCUAGGGUAGCAAACGGG